rnacentral:rRNA from 1 species
AGAGUUUGAUCAUGGCUCAGAAUCAACGCUGGCGGCGUGCCUAACACAUGCAAGUCGAACACGAAAGCCCCGCAAGGGGUUAGUAGAGUGGCAAACGGGUGAGUAACACGUGGGUGAUCUGCCUCAGAGUGGGGGAUAACGACCCGAAAGGGUCGCUAAUACCGCAUAACAUCCUGCCUUUGGAUAGGUGGAGAUCAAAGCCGGGGACCGCAAGGCCUGGCGCUUGGAGAGGAGCCCGCGGCCGAUUAGCUAGUUGGUGAGGUAACGGCUCACCAAGGCAACGAUCGGUAUCCGGCCUGAGAGGGCGGACGGACACACUGGGACUGAGACACGGCCCAGACUCCUACGGGAGGCAGCAGUGGGGAAUUGUUCGCAAUGGGCGCAAGCCUGACGACGCAACGCCGCGUGGAGGACGAAGAUUUUCGGAUCGUAAACUCCUUUCGAUCGGGAAGAACAGCUUUCGGGUUAACAGCCUGAGAGUCUGACGGUACCGAGAGAAGAAGCCCCGGCUAACUCUGUGCCAGCAGCCGCGGUAAUACAGGGGGGGCAAGCGUUGUUCGGAAUUACUGGGCGUAAAGGGGUUGUAGGCGGCCAACUAAGUCCGACGUGAAAUCCCAAGGCUUAACCUUGGAACUGCGUCGGAUACUGGAUGGCUUGAAUUCGGGAGAGGGAUGCAGAAUUCCAGGUGUAGCGGUGAAAUGCGUAGAUAUCUGGAGGAAUACCGGUGGCGAAGGCGGCAUCCUGGACCGACAUUGACGCUGAAAACCGAAAGCUAGGGGAGCAAACGGGAUUAGAUACCCCAGUAGUCC